rnacentral:rRNA from 1 species
UACGUGAAACCGUUCAGGGGUAAACCUGAGAAACCCAAAAGAUCGAAUGGGGAGAUUCAUCGUCAGCGGCGUUGGCUUCCGUGCGGUUCGCGAUGUCCGGGACCUCGGUCCCGCGUCACGCGUCCGCUGCGGUAUGUCCGGCGUCGUCGGCGUGCACUUCUCCCCUAGUAGGACGUCGCGACCCGUUGGGUGCCGGCCUACGGCCCGGUUGGUCGACUGUCGCGUUCGCUUGAACGCGGCAGACCACCGGUCGCCCGGCCGACUGCCCGGCGGUAUAGAUCGCUAUUUAAAACGGUAUUGGGCCGCAUUAAGUGCGUUCAGGCUCGUCGGCAGGCUCGUCUCGCCCGGAUUUACGGACCUAGUGCCGUUGCCGGGUGCUUGGCGCGGCCGUUAGUCGACGAUGUCCUCGGACUGGCUCUUGCAUUCGAACGGAUAUACCGGUCGGCGACGCUACUGCUUUGGGUACUUUCAGGACCCGUCUUGAAACACGGACCAAGGAGUCUAACAUGUACGCGAGUCAUUGGGACUUGUUAAGCCUAAAGGCGCAAUGAAAGUGAAGGUCGGCCCUAGCGUCGACCGAGAGAGGAUGGCUCGCGUUACGAUGCGAGCCCGCACUCCCGGGGCGUCUCGUGCUCAUUGCGAGCAGAGGCGCACCCAGAGCGUACACGUUGGGACCCGAAAGAUGGUGAACUAUGCCUGGUCAGGACGAAGUCAGGGGAAACCCUGAUGGAGGUCCGUAGCGAUUCUGACGUGCAAAUCGAUCGUCGGAACUGGGUAUAGGGGCGAAAGACUAAUCGAACCAUC